UACGAAGGGGGCUAGCGUUGCUCGGAAUCACUGGGCGUAAAGGGUGCGUAGGCGGGUCUUUUAAGUCAGGGGUGAAAUCCUGGAGCUCAACUCCAGAACUGCCUUUGAUACUGAGGAUCUUGAGUUCGGGAGAGGUGAGUGGAACUGCGAGUGUAGAGGUGAAAUUCGUAGAUAUUCGCAAGAACACCAGUGGCGAAGGCGCUCACUGGCCCGAUACUGACGCUGAGGCGCGAAAGCCAGGGGAGCAAACGGG
rnacentral:rRNA from 1 species